GUGCGUGCGUGCGUGUGCGUGUGUGUGUGUGGCAGUGUUUCUCGGUCCUGGAGACCCAAAGGGAGUGCACGUUUUCGUUUUUGCCCAGGCACUCACACACCUGAUUGAAAUGAAAGACCUGAUGAUUGGUUGAUUGCAUCAGUCAAGUGUGUAACUGCCAGGGCAAUGUUUGAAUCAGUUGCUCAGGCAAAAAAAGGAAAAAUGUGCACUGUUUUGGGUCCCCAGGAUUGGGAAACACUGGAUAUUGGUCGUGUGUGUGUAUUCCCUUAGUGUGGGGUAUUGGUCCUCUGUGUGUGUGUGUGUAUUCCCUUAGUGUGGGGUAUUGGUCCUGUGCACCUCCUGUGGAGGUUCUUAAACAUGGCGUCUCCUGGGGUCAUCCUGGUCUGAGUCCCAAAUGGCACCCUAAAGCCCUACAUACUGCACUACUCCCUGCAAGAGCCAUGGUGAGACUGAGUGUGCUGUGUUGGGGAGUAGGGUUACAUUUCAGAAGUGGCCUAAUCAAGGACCGGAGUUGACCUCUCACCUCGUAUGUCGGGACCCGGUCUGUCAGAGCGUCUUGACAGGAGCGCCGAUCCCGGAUCUUUAUUGUCGUAAAGGCCGAACCGAAUCACCCUCUUGCUGUGAGACGCUGUGUCAGCAAAGGCCCCGAUUGGUAUUUCCCAACAGUGAUUGUCCUCUGUUCUGCCCUCGUUCGGUACCUGAAAGCUCCCCCAGGUGGCCCCCCGAUUCCGUGUGUUCCCUUUUUUUCGGCCCUGAUCAAAAGUAGGGCGCUGUACAGGGAAUCGGGUACCAUCUGGGUUGUACCCCAUAUAUGUAAAAGGCUUUUCUUCAAACAUUUGGUUUUAUUUAUAUUUGCAUAUUUGUACCAUGUAAUUUUUUAUCAUACGUUAUAACAGGUUAGGUUCCAUUCUGAAUGGCGUUUGUAUGUACACCACUCUGUUUCCUACAAUGCUUCUUUUUUUCUUUUUUUUUUUUUUAACAAUUAACAUCAGGUCGUUUGACUGUUUGUUUUUGUAGGGCAAAAAUGUAUUUCAAAGGGUAUUUUUGUAUGUACUGUAUAUCACCUCCUUUAAAUGAGACCAUUAAACCCAUGAACCCCUAGUUCUCCUGUUUUAAAAUAUGUGUGUUUGUAGCACAGCUGAGGAUUGAUUUUUUUAGGAUGUUACUGUUGGAUGUAUCUGUUGGUGCGUCACCCAUUCCGCUCGGAAGGGCUCCUAAAUAAUUUCCUGUGUGACUCUGGGAAAUGUUGUUCUACCUAAGCAUUUUAAAUAAGAAUUGUGGGUAUUGAAUCUGAGAGUUUCAGUGCCAAAUAAGUUUCACAACAGACAAGGAAUUUGUUCUGGUUGCUGAUGCAACAAUUUAUACCAAUUGAAUAAGGGAAAUAAAAACAAAUGAGAACAGUGGACUGAGCAUAAAAACAGUAAACUGAGCAUUAAUACAUUUGUAAAAGUAUAAGGUGCAAGAUUCUGUCCAGUUGAGGGUUAUGUGGGGAGCCACUAUAGUCAGUUUGGUUCCAGGGGCAUGUUCAUGAGGCCUACUGCUGUAGGAAAGAAACUGUUCUCGUGGCGAGAGGUUGAUGGAUCUCAUCCUUCUGCCAGAGGGGAGAGCUCUGAAUAGUCCAUUUUCAGGGUGAGAGGGAUCAGCACCAAUCUUUGCCACUCACCUCCGCGUCCUGGAGUUGUACAGGUCUUGUAGAGAUGGCAAAUUGCAUGUGUAGAAAUGCGCCAUCAUAAUCUUUGACAAGUUUAAAUUAUUCAGCUACCGCAUGAAGUACAUCCUCUAAUGACCUUUCUUUGUAGGCGAGGUAAUGUUCUGCUCGCACUUGAGGUCCUGAGCGAUGGUGGUACCCAGAAAGCAAAAAGAUUCCACAGAGUUGAUUAGGGAGCCACCAAGGGCGAUGAGGGAAAGGGCAGCUGGGCUUCUCCGUCGUCUCCACUGUCUUUAGUGCGUUGAGCUCCGAGUUCUGACUGCGCCAGGAUACCAGAUGGUCAAUCGCCCACCUGUUGGCAGGCUCGUCUGCAUCAGGGUGGUGUCACUCUCGUCUGUGAGGGUGGUGUCAUCCAUAAACUUCAGGAGCUGGACAGUGGUGACGGGAGGUGCUGCUGAUGGUGUACAGGGGGAAGAGUAGAGGGGACAGAACCCAGCCUUGAGGGGAGCCGGUGCUGAUGGUCAGGGGGUCAAGACAGGUGCUUCCCCGGCCUCACAUGCUGCCUCCUGUUGGGCAGGAAGGCUGUGAUCCACCUGCCUGUGUACUCGGGCAAUCCCAGUUGGGAGAGCUUGUCCAGGAGCAAAGCGGGAAUUAAGGUGUUGAAUGCAGAACUGAACAGGAUUCUGGCGUAGGUUCCAGGGGAGUCCAGAUGCUGGAGGAUGAAGUGAAGAGCCACGUCCUCCACAUACCUGUUGGCUCUCUAGGCAAACUGCAUUGGAUCUCUCGUUUGUUUAACUUGGAUGCUACUUUGUGAUAUUGAAUAAUGUAUUAAAACUAUAAAACUGAAGUAUCCAUACAUCCCCAGCCUGUAUUAGUACUUAUAUUUACACACAUGCUUACAUUUAUUCAGUCAUUUUUGCAGAGUGUCUUUAGGGACCCUUAGAUUUGAUUUUGAUGUUUUCGUCAGCUUCACGUCCAACGCAUGUGCCACCCCCGCCACUCUGUGAGCGACACCCCCGCCGCUCUGUGAGCGACACCCCCGCCAUUCCACUGGAAACAGAUUAACUUCUGGCGUACCGGAAAUGUGGGUGAGCUAGCUGGCUCCUGGCGUGAUAAUCGUUUCCUGUGACUGUCUACUGGUUUAUGCUUUUUUUAAUGUUUUUUUUUUUUACUUUUAGGGCUGGUUUUACGGAAAACAAGUAUAGUUGUGGACAAAAAAAUAUAUAUAGUUCAAUGGAGGUUUCUGGUGAGAUUGUUUUUGUCCGUCUGUGACUGUGAAACCGGCCCUUUAUGUGAAAGUGUUUAAGCGUCAUACCAAUUGUUGGUUGUGAUGAUUAAAGUAUGUUAAAAAUGGCCGACCAAACCGCUUUCUAUGGAAUGACACUCAAUAAGAUAGCCCUAGUCGUGUUAUGAGUGAAGUGGGGGAUUAUUUAACAUGUAACCAAAGUGCCCCUCAUUCGGUGUCUUACCGAAGUCGGGUACAUGUUAAGAUGUGUCCAUCUGUCGAAGUUGUCUUUGGCCUCUUGUGUUAUCCAGUGAGGAGGGUUGGUCUUAUCCAGGCUGGGUAUUUUUAAUCACUUUAUCAUAAUAAUCUUGAUCGUGUUCCAUUAGAUGUUCCAUUAGGUCUUUGAAAUAUUUUUUUAAUUCAUCUUCUGAUCUGUAGCUUCCCACAAUUUUUUUUCUGUUAGUUUCUUUGAAAGCUCCUUGGUGCUCAUGUUUGAGUGUUUACUCUGCAAUUAACUACACAAUAGAGGGAACCUACAACAACUUCUGAAUGUAUCAGGAAGGGUUAGUUACUCAAGUUUGUCACAGGUGGAGGUCGCCCAAAGUUAACUUGGUGUGUGUGAUGUUGAAGGUGAUAUGUUACACUUUAAGUUAUUUAGGGGAUGAGACCUAACUAUGAUAUUUUGAUUUUGUGUUUUUUAUGUUUCAAAAUAAUAAAAUUCAAAAUAACAC
ensembl:lncRNA